GGGGGAUGGAAUUGCUAGGAGUGAUUGCCUGUUUUGCAAACAGGAUAGCAGAUGGGUUCGAAUCCCAUAUCCUCCACCA
rnacentral:tRNA from 1 species